rnacentral:rRNA from 1 species
GACGAACGCUGGUGGCGUGCUUAACACAUGCAAGUCGAACGGGAUUUAGUAAACAGAAGCCUCGGUGGAAGAUUACUAAUGAGAGUGGCGAACGGGUGAGUAACGCGUGAGCAACCUGCCUAUGACAGUGGGAUAGCCUCGGGAAACCGGGAUUAAUACCGCAUAAAAUCGUAGAAACACAUGUUUUAACGGUCAAAGAUUUAUCGGUCAUAGAUGGGCUCGCGUCUGAUUAGCUAGUUGGUGAGAUAACAGCCCACCAAGGCGACGAUCAGUAGCCGGUCUGAGAGGAUGAACGGCCACAUUGGAACUGAGACACGGUCCAAACUCCUACGGGAGGCAGCAGUGGGGAAUAUUGCACAAUGGGGGAAACCCUGAUGCAGCGACGCCGCGUGAACGAAGAAGGUAUUCGUAUCGUAAAGUUCUGUCCUAUGGGAAGAUAAUGACAGCACCAUAGAAGAAAGCUCCGGCUAAAUACGUG